rnacentral:rRNA from 1 species
AUUGAACGCUGGCGGCAGGCCUAACACAUGCAAGUCGAACGAGUGGCGGACGGGUGAGUAAUGUCUGUGAAACUGCCCGAUGGAGGGGGAUAACUACUGGAAACGGUAGCGAAUACCGCAUACCAUGGGAUGUGCCCAGAUGGGAUUAGCUCGUAGUUGGGGUAACGGCCCACCUAGGCGACGCUCCCUAGCUGGUCUGAGAGGAUGACCCGCCAGACUGUAAAUGAGACACGGUCCAGACUCUUACGGGAGGCAGCAGUGGGGAAUAUUGACCAAGGGGCGCAAGCCUGAUGCAGCCAGACCGCGUGUAUGAUGAAGGCCUUCGGGGUGUAAAGUACUUUCAGCGAGGAGGCGUUACUCGCAGAAGAAGCACCGGCUAACGCCGUGCCAGCAGCCGCGGUAAUAC